GCCCCGAGGAGCCUGCAGUCCGGCCACACUUCAGGCUAACACCGGGACAGGAACAACAUGUCCGUCCCUCCGGUUCACACGGAGACAAACACACUUGCUGACUCACUGUCACCUGUCCAGACACACCGAGAGGACCGGGAGGAGGACACCGGGAGGAGGACUGCCCCCCCACACACAACGAGAAAAUAACCAACAGGUGAGAUUUAUUUAUUAAAAUGUUUUUAAUACUGUAGAACUGAGGUCGGUUAAUUUACAGAUUAAAGACCAGUUAAUGCGCCUCAUUAAUCACAGUUAGGGACUGUUCUCUAUUUAUCAGAGGAGGGAGGUGAAGUACCCUCCCUGACGACCUCCACCAGAAACAAGUUGCUGGAUGGUAAAAACUGAAUUACCACCAUUUUAAACUCAGAUUUUUUAAUGUUUUUGUUUUUUUUUUCUGAUGGAAGUGUUCAUUGCAACUGGUGUUUACAAGGAGCGUAGGAAAUGUGAAAACCUGAUUUUCAAAACGAUUUUCAAGACCAAAACAUCGCCAAAAUGUUAACUUUAAAAGUUAAAGGAAAGAAAAAAAAAUCACAAUGAUUUUCAGGAAAGGGAAAAAACCGCCACAAGAUUUUUGAGAUUAAAACAAAAAAAAAAAACAAGAGAGAGAAUUAAAUUAGAAAGAAAAGCCAAAAUUAAAUUAAAUUUUCCAAAAGCUAUUCGAGGAAAAAUAAUCAGAUAUUUUUAAGGGAAAUAAAUCCACAAAAUGUUUUCUUUCAAAAUCACCCAAAAAUGUUGAAAGAAAAAAAUACCAACAACAUGCCUUCCAAUCUGGCCU